rnacentral:rRNA from 1 species
GGUCUCUGCGAAGCCGAAAGGCGAAGUAUAGGGGCUGACACCUGCCCGGUGCUGGAAGGUUAAGGGGAAAUGUUAGCCGCAAGGCGAAGCUUUGAACCGAAGCCCCAGUAAACGGCGGCCGUAACUAUAACGGUCCUAAGGUAGCGAAAUUCCUUGUCGGGUAAGUUCCGACCCGCACGAAAGGUGCAACGACUUGGGCACUGUCUCAACGAGAGACCCGGUGAAAUUAUACUAUGCGUGAAGAUGCGCAUUACCCGCGACAGGACGGAAAGACCCCGUGGAGCUUUACUGUAGCCUGAUAUUGAAUGUCUGUGCAGCUUGUACAGGAUAGGUGGGAGCCUUGGAAACCGGAGCGCUAG